AUCGGUACACCCAGUAAAAAGUUAUUGCGGAUUUUCGAGAGUUUCCCUCGAUUUAUCUGGGAUCCCAUCAUCAGAUCCUGGUUUCCUUAUCAUGGUACCAAACCUGGGAUAUCCCCUUUCCAACAAAAAAAGAAUUAUCAAAAUCGGUACAUCCAGUAGAAAGUUAUGCGGUAUAAUACAACGUAGGUCGACGAAAAAGGCGUCAAGUAAAAACGCAUUAUUAGAUAUAACUCGAAAAGUAGUUGUUAGAUCUCAAAUAAAUUUAAAUGGGACCAAUUGACACA
rnacentral:misc_RNA from 1 species